CCACAGCGCACUCGGUAGAGCGACGGACUGUUAAUCCGCAGGUCCCUGGUUCGAGCCCAGGUAUUUACCC
rnacentral:tRNA from 1 species